AUAAGCUUUGCCAAUCCCACGUCCCCAUAAUUUUCAACUUUUCCAUAUCCACUUCUCCAAUGGGUUACUGAAAGCUUGAAAUCCCCGAAAAUGGCGACUCCCAAUCCAACCUCCAUGCCCUUACCUUCUUCCUCCUCCAAUUUCCUUUCCCUUCCCCGCACUGCAACAUGCAUUUCAUUCCCUCUAAAGCGCCCGCUUCUCCAUUCCAAGCCGCGCCUCUCUCUAAAUUCCCUCGCCUCUCCGGAUUUGGACCCCUCCUUGCCCUCAAACGUUCACACCUUCUGGGAGUGGCUUCGCCAGGAAGGUCUGGUCUCCUCCAAGACUCACGUGAAGCCAGCGAUUUUCCCCGAAGGCCUCGGCCUGGCCACCACCAAAGACCUAUCCAAGAACGAGGUCGUUUUGGAGGUUCCCAAGCGGUUCUGGAUCAACCCCGACGCGGUUGCUAAUUCUGAAAUUGGCAAUGUCUGCAGUGGAUUGAAGCCGUGGAUUUCUGUUGCUCUGUUUCUGAUUAGAGAGAAUUUCAAGGAGGAUUCGCGUUGGCGACGGUACCUAGAUAUUCUCCCUCAGGAAACAGAUUCCACUGUGUUUUGGUCUGAAGAGGAGCUUGCGGAGCUCCAAGGAACCCAACUUCUGAGUACGACUUUGAAUGUAAAAGAAUAUGUUAAGAGCGAGUUUCAUAAGGUUGAAGAGAUAAUACUCCGCCACAAAGAUCUAUUUCCUACUCCAAUUACACUGCAUGACUUCUUUUGGGCUUUUGGGAUACUCAGAUCAAGAGCAUUUUCACGACUCAGAGGCCAAAACCUUGUUUUGAUCCCUUUCGCAGACUUGGUCAACCAUAGUGCUGAUGUAACCUCAGAAGAACAUGCAUGGGAGGUUAAGGGACCAGCAGGUCUCUUCUCAUGGGAUAUCCUAUUCUCUCUCCGGUCCCCAAUUUCUGUGAAGGCUGGCGAGCAGGUUUUUAUCCAAUAUGACUUGAAAAAGAGCAAUGCCGACCUAGCUCUUGACUAUGGGUUUGUAGAGUCGAAACCUGACCGCAAUGCAUAUACACUGACGUUAGAGAUCCCAGAGUCGGACCCUUUUUAUGAUGACAAGCUGGAUAUUGCAGAGACUAAUGGUCUUGGUGAGACUGCAUAUUUUGACAUUGUUUUGGACCGUCCUUUUCCUGAUGCAAUGCUUCCAUUCCUGCGGUUGCUAGCGCUUGGAGGCACCGAUGCAUUCCUCUUGGAAUCCUUAUUUAGAAACUCAAUCUGGGGCCAUCUUGAAAUGCCUGUAAGUCGAGCAAAUGAAGAGUUUGUGUGUCAAGUGGUCAGAAAUGCUUGCGAGGUUGCUCUUUCUGGUUACCGCACCACUUUAGAAGAGGACGAGAAGCUAAAAGAAGAAAAGCUUGAUUCAAGACUGAGGAUUGCUGUUGGAAUAAGGGAAGGGGAGAAAAGGGUAUUGCAGCAAAUAAUCAAAAUUUUCAAAGACAGGGAACUAGAAUUAGAUGAAUUGGAAUAUUACCAAGAAAGGAGGCUAAAGGAUCUUGGGCUAUGUGGGGAGCAAGGUGAAAUUAUCUUUUGGGAGUCCAAAUAGGAAUCCCCCAUUCAUUAAUGGCUACCAGAAAUUAAGAAGGUUCAAAUACAUGCGGCUUUCAACACUUAGGCCAUUGACAAGAAUGGGAUGUUCAAAUAAUAACCAGAAGUUGGUCAAGAGCGGGAGUGGAUCUAGAGCAGGUGCCAAAGAGAGCCAAACCUAGUGUUGAGAGCCCCCAUCGGUUUGUAUCGGUUUGGUCUUGAUAUUAUUUUUGUAAUCGGUUUCUUUUUUAUAUUUGAACUCAAACACUAUUUUGAAUGUUAUAAGUAUAUAUU